CCGUCCAUUUUGUUGCAUCUUGGUCUGUGGACACCGCUGUUCGUCUGUCUUCUUUAUCCCUUUUGGACAUUUUUCGGCCAUAUUAUUUGAACCUUUGCAGCACCUCGGCAACCCUUACAAACUGACCCACGCAUAAACUAGAAAAGUUGACAGAGUGCAAGUAAAAUUGAAACAUUUAGGUGGAAGAUCACAGAAGAGGCCCAGUCCUCCCAGCUCGUCGUCAUCACGUGAACAGUUUUAAAGGAAAUGUUUAUAGAGACCAGAGCAUGUUCUGAGAUUAUGGCAGCAUCAUAUUAACAUUCUGACACAGAAGAAAGUAACCUAUUAUUAACAAAAACAUAACCCCAGUGUUGGUUUUAUAACUAUUAUAAAUAUUCAAUAUACGUUAGAAGUAUUUUUCCAUAAAUACAUUUUCCACACAAGUGCUACUGAUCACACAUUUACUUCAGCAUUGCUAUUCUACUUACAUUUACUACAAUUGUGUUAUUCUGAUAUAUUGAAUUUACUCAACAGCAGCGCUCCUCUCAUUAUACAUUUGUCUGAGCAGUGGUAUUCUACUUACAUUAAUUAAAAAGUAAUUGUGGGACACUGUGUAAAGAGUAAAUAAAGGUAAAUAAAACAUAAUUCAAUGACAAUUAUGAUUUGCAAAUGCCAUAAACCCAUAUUUUAUUCCCAAUUAAACAUAAUGUUAAGAAACAUUUUUGCAUUUAAUAAAAACAUUAUUUAGAAAUUGAGUAUUUAAGAAGCAGAUUUGUGAGGUUCACAAAUCUGCCAAAAACAGCGUCUUUAAAUUUGGAACAAUAUAAGAACAUUUUUCUCACCAUAAAUUUGUGAAGACUUUGGAUAUUGUUUACAGGAAAUCACUGCAUGAACUCAGGAACACAGGAUCAUGCAGAGAAGGAGUCAUAUAUCAGAACAUUCCAAAAACAGGAGUGUCUUCUCUGGCCCAAAAAGAAUGGAGCAUACACUAAAAAUGCCGGCAAACAGUGAAGCAUGUUGCUGGCUGGUGGGUAAGAUGGAUUUAAUCAAAUACUGGGAAAUCCUAGGAAAAAAUAAUUCUUUAAUAUUGAGUUUCAUUGGACUUUUCAGGGACAAUAAUCCCAAACCCCAAAUCCCAAGUCCACCAAAUCUUGGUUUUAGAAGAAGUCCUGUAAGAUUCUGAAGUGUCACAUGACAUAAAUAGGAUUAAAAUAAAGGUUGGCAGGAUUUGAAGAUGUUUACA
rnacentral:lncRNA from 1 species